rnacentral:rRNA from 1 species
CUACCGAUUGAAUGGUUUAGCAAGGUCCUCGGAUUGGUGCCAUUGUAGUGGUUUCGGCCGCUCGAACGGUGCUGAGAAGACGACCAAACUUGAUCAUUUAGAGGAAGUAAAAGUCGUAACAAGGUUUCCGUAGGUGAACCUGCGGAAGGAUCAUUA